UAAAACGGAAAAACUUGGCACUGUACGGUACAGUUUUCGACGAUUUUGGUCGUUUACUUUUUUCAGUACGACAAUAGACAAUGCUACUGUUGUCGACUCGUAUAAUUUAGCCUAAUUUACGACUUACGCAAUGGGGCUGAAUAUAAUGCAAACUUUGUACAAAAAU